rnacentral:rRNA from 1 species
GACGAACGCUGGCGGCGUGCUUAACACAUGCAAGUCGAACGGAAAGGCCCCUUUGGGGGUACUCGAGUGGCGAACGGGUGAGUAACACGUGAGUAACCUGCCCUUGACUUCGGGAUAACUUCAGGAAACUGGGGCUAAUACCGGAUAGGAAUCCUUGCUGCAUGGUGGGGGUUGGAAAGCUUCGGCGGUUUUGGAUGGACUCGCGGCCUAUCAGCUUGUUGGUGGGGUAGUGGCUUACCAAGGCUUUGGCGGGUAGCCGGCCUGGGAGGGCGACCGGCCACAUUGGGACUGGGGUACGGCCCAGACGCCUACGGGAGGCAGCAGUGGGGAAUAUUGCACAAUGGGCGGAAGCCUGAUGCAGCAACGCCGCGUGCGGGAUGACGGCCUUCGGGUUGUAAACCGCUUUCAGCAGGGGCGAAGCUUGUGGUGACGGUACCUGCAGAAGAAGCACCGGCUAACUACGUG